AAAUCUGGCUGGGCCUCCAACAGUAGUCUGAUUUGGGAAUAUGGGCCUUCACUUUGGAAUUAUAACAGAAGAUAUUGAAAUUCCACAGGAAUAUUUAAGGCUUUGCUCUGUACUCUGUUCCACCAUCCCUCUAUGAGGGCUCCAUGCUGAAGGAGGUUGUCUAGACUCGGGAUUCUGUGAAAACACAUUCACCUUAUCUGCUGUUAAGCACCUUGCCUUAGAGCCAGCUGAUGAUGGACUAAAACCUCUACAACUGUGAGCCAAAAUAAACCUUUCCUCCUUUAACUUUGAGUAUUGGAUAUUUUGUUUCAAGAAGAAGAAAUUAACCAAGAUGGACUGUUUAGAAUCUUUUAAUUUCAGCGAUAAGAAAAUGACGGAGACAAUGCCCAGAAGAUUUCAUUUGAAACCCGAAGAUAGAGAAGCUAGGCCUUGGACAUAGAAGAUUCUCCAGAAAGUGGCUGUAACCACCUAAGUUCACCACAGAGCUGUGGCCCUCACCUCCUAUCUCAUCCCCUUCGGAGGAGUCUGGCUCCUCUGGGGUGUUCCUGGUCCCCCGCUGUGGAAGAUAUUGACCCUGUUCUAGAAAUACUAUUUCCUCCUAUUUUAAAAAAGAGUUAUAAAUUAUAAAGGUAAUAUAUGCUCUGGGCUAAUUAAAACAGU
rnacentral:lncRNA from 1 species